rnacentral:lncRNA from 1 species
UAUUUGAACAGAAAUUAUGUUGUAUUCAUAGGUAUUCACGUAUAUUAGAAUAACUUUGAUUUGCUUUAUGGCAAAGACACCAUACUUAAUUUCACCAGUCAAGUUACCCUUCCUGUUAAUAAUGUGUUUGUAUAGACAUCCAAACUAAAAAGAGGUGUUUUUAAAUUAUCAUUUAUAAUACAGCUUAAUUUUUCUGAUUAUAAGAGUAAUAAAUGCUCAUUAGAAUUUAUCAAUAUGAGAGCAGAAAUUCAGGGCACCCCUUUAAUGUUACCCUUCAAAUAUAACAGAGGUUUAUAUAUAUGUAAACAGAUUAGUGUAUACUACUGAAAUAUGCUUUAAUACUUUAAAUAUUGCAGUAUAUCCUUUUAAUAAAUAAACUUACUAUAAUUUGUUUAACCAAUUCUUUGCUGGUCAAAUAUUUAGGUUGUUUCCUUCCUGGCAAAUUCUCUGUCCCUGGUUAUUUUUGAUCCUUAACAGGUAGGGGGUUUAUGUCUUUCAGAGCCGGUCCAGAAAUGUCAUCCAAGAGCCAAGGGCUAGAAUUGGGGACCCCAAGGGCCCACUUAGUGUUCUACUCCACUGUGGUCAAGCUGGUGUAUAAGGUACAAGAUAAAUUUCCCUUUACU